UAGGGAAUCUUCGGUAAUGGGGGCAACCCUGACCGAGCAACGCCGCGCGAGUGAAGAAGGUUUUCGGAUCGUAAAGCUCUGUUGUAAGAGAAGAACGUGUGUGAGAGUGGAAAGUUCACACAGUGACGGUAACUUACCAGAAAGGGACGGCUAACUACGUGCCAGCAGCCGCGGUAAUACGUAGGUCCCGAGCGUUGUCCGGAUUUAUUGGGCGUAAAGCGAGCGCAGGCGGUUUAAUAAGUCUGAAGUUAAAGGCAGUGGCUUAACCAUUGUUCGCUUUGGAAACUGUUAAACUUGAGUGCAGAAGGGGAGAGUGGAAUUCCAUGUGUAGCGGUGAAAUACGUAGAUAUAUGGAGGAACACCGGUGGAGAAAGCGGCUCUCUGGUCUGUAACUGACGCUGAGGAUCGAAAGCGUGGGGAGCAAACAGG
rnacentral:rRNA from 1 species